AGUUAACGUUGGCGGCGUGCCUAACACAUGCAAGUCGAACGCGUCCUAAGGGCAACUUUAGGAUGAGUGGCGAACGGGUGAGUAUCACGUGGGUAAUCUUCCUUUAAGUGGGGAAUAAGCUCUCGAAAGGGAGUCUAAUACCGCAUGACAUUCCGGGACACAAGUCCCGUAAUCAAAGCCGCAAGGCGCUUGAAGAUGAGCCUGCGUCCUAUUAGCUAGUUGGUGGGGUAACGGCCUACCAAGGCUCAGAUGGGUAGCCGGCCUGAGAGGGUGAACGGCCACACUGGGACUGAGACACGGCCCAGACUCCUACGGGAGGCUGCAGUCGAGAAUUUGGGCAAUGGAUGAAAGUCUGACCCAGCAAUGCCGCGUGCGGGAUGAAGGUCUUCGGAUUGUAAACCGCUGUCGAGGGGGACGAAAUAUGACGGUACCCCUGGAGGAAGCCACGGCUAACUACGUG
rnacentral:rRNA from 1 species